CUGGAUGACAUCCUAGGACUCUCUAGGGGACUGCCUACGAUUGGGACGAACGCUAUAUCGGGAAAUAAGCAAUAGAAAAAAUUAAUCCGCCUUUAUCGGUAAAUAAUCAGACUCCGUUAGAAGAUAACAAUUCUAAAAGUAACUAGAGAUGAUUGUACGGACAGAAUUAAAAUUACAUACCUGAUAAAGGUGAAUGGCAACGUGGUAAGGUAGGCGACGUGGUGGCGAUGAAAGAUUUGCGAUGAACCGCUUUAGCGGUACGACGAGGAAUGUUGAAAUCACGCUGGAAAGAAUGACAAAAUAUCGUUAAUGAACACUUUCCACAUUGCAAGCAGUCUCUUCCGUCUCAUUUUCAAACACAAGCACUCUAGCAGAGUUGCCGUGCGAACGCAGUCGUGGCCUGCUCGGCCUGUUUCUCGACUGAUCCAUGAUUUCAGUCACUGAGUCUUUAUUCGAUAAAUACGACAGCUGGAAAUAAAC